rnacentral:rRNA from 1 species
CCCUUAGAUGUCCUGGGCCGCACGCGCGCUACACUGAUGCAUGCAACGAGUUUAUAACCUUGGCCUGAAAGGUCUGGGUAAUCUUUUGAACGUGCAACGUGAUAGGGAUAGAUUAUUGCAAUUGUUAAUCUUGAACGAGGAAUUCCUAGUAAACGCGAGUCAUCAGCUCGCAUUGAUUACGUCCCUGCCCUUUGUACACACCGCCCGUCGCACCUACCGAUUGAAUGGUUCGGUGAAGAUCUCGGACUUCGAUAUUUAUUCUUUAUUGAGUUUAUAUUGUGGGAAGUUAUCUAAACCUCAUCAUUUAGAGGAAGGUGAAGUCGUAACA